rnacentral:rRNA from 1 species
UACCCCGCUGAACCUAAGCAUAUCAAUAAGCGGAGGAAAAGAAACUAACAAGGAUUCCCCUAGUAACUGCGAGUGAAGCGGGAAAAGCUCAAAUUUAAAAUCUGAUGGUCUUUGGCCAUCCGAAUUGUAAUCUAGAGAAGUGCUGCCCGCGCUGGACCAUGUACAAGUCUCCUGGGAUGGAGCGUCAUAGAGGGUGAGAAUCCCGUCUCUGACAUGGACUACCAGGGCUUUGUGGUACGCUCUCAAAGAGUCGAGUUGUUUGGGAAUGCAGCUCAAAAUGGGUGGUAAAUUCCAUCUAAAGCUAAAUAUUGGCAAGAGACCGAUAGCGAACAAGUACCGUGAGGGAAAGAUGAAAAGAACUUUGGAAAGAGAGUUAAACAGUACGUGAAAUUGCUGAAAGGGAAACGCUUGAAGUCAGUCACAUUGACUGGGGAUCAGCCUCGCUUUUUUGCGUGGUGUAUUUUCUAGUUGAUGGGUCAGCAUCAAUUUUGAUCACUGGAAAAAGGCAUGAGGAAUGUGGCAGCUCUGGCUGUGUUAUAGCUUCUUGUCAUAUACAGUGGUUGGGAUUGAGGAACUCAGCAUGCCGCAAGGCCGGGUUUCGACCACGUUCAUGCUUAGGAUGCUGGCAUAAUGGCUUUAAGCGACCCGUCUUGAAACACGGACCAAGGAGUCUAACAUGCUUGCGA